rnacentral:rRNA from 1 species
UACGGAGGGUCCAAGCGUUAUCCGGAAUCAUUGGGUUUAAAGGGUUCGCAGGCGGUGAUUUAAGUCAGUGGUGAAAUCCCAUAGCUCAACUAUGGAACUGCCAUUGAUACUGAAUCACUUGAAUAUAGUUGGAGUAGGCGGAAUGUGUAGUGUAGCGGUGAAAUGCUUAGAUAUUACACAGAACACCGAUAGCGAAGGCAGCUUACUAAACUAUUAUUGACGCUCAUGAACGAAAGCGUGGGGAGCGAACAGG